GACGAACGCUGGCGGCGUGCUUAACACAUGCAAGUCGAACGGAAAGGCCCUGCUUUUGUGGGGUGCUCGAGUGGCGAACGGGUGAGUAACACGUGAGUAACCUGCCCUUGACUUUGGGAUAACUUCAGGAAACUGGGGCUAAUACCGGAUAGGAGCUCCUGAUGCAUGGUGGGGGUUGGAAAGUUUCGGCGGUUGGGGAUGGACUCGCGGCUUAUCAGCUUGUUGGUGGGGUAGUGGCUUACCAAGGCUUUGACGGGUAGCCGGCCUGAGAGGGUGACCGGCCACAUUGGGACUGAGAUACGGCCCAGACUCCUACGGGAGGCAGCAGUGGGGAAUAUUGCACAAUGGGCGGAAGCCUGAUGCAGCAACGCCGCGUGCGGGAUGACGGCCUUCGGGUUGUAAACCGCUUUCGCCUGUGACGAAGCGUGAGUGACGGUAAUGGGUAAAGAAGCACCGGCUAACUACGU
rnacentral:rRNA from 1 species